GUCCUACGGGAGGCAGCAGUGGGGAAUAUUGGGCAAUGGGCGCAAGCCUGACCCAGCAACGCCGCGUGAAGGAAGAAGGCUUUCGGGUUGUAAACUUCUUUUCUGAGGGACGAAGAAAGUGACGGUACCUCAGGAAUAAGCCACGGCUAACUACGUGCCAGCAGCCGCGGUAAUACGUAGGUGGCAAGCGUUAUCCGGAUUUAUUGGGUGUAAAGGGCGUGUAGGCGGGAAAGCAAGUCAGAUGUGAAAUCUGGGGGCUUAACCCCCAAACUGCUUUUGAAAAUGAGGGUCUUGAGGGAUGGAGG
rnacentral:rRNA from 1 species